rnacentral:rRNA from 1 species
AUGCGGUGGCGGAGGGAGUGGAGGUCGCCGCCGGGGCAGAACUCCACGACAACGCAGGAGAAGCGCGGGGCGGCGUCGAAGUCGGCGAAGAGCGUGGGGAGGAACGGGUGGUCGAGCAGCCGCAGGAUGCGCUUCUCGGCAGCCGCCCGCUCCAGCUUGUGCUUCUUGGCCACGGCGCGCCGGUCCACCACCUUC